GGUAUUUUGUUCACGCUGCCGUUCUGGGCCUGCGCCAAAGAUGUCACCAUUAUUUACACCAACGAUCUACACGCCC
rnacentral:tRNA from 1 species